GGUGGAGCAUGUGGUUUAAUUCGAAGCAACGCGAAGAACCUUACCAGGUCUUGACAUCCCGAUGCUAUUUCUAGAGAUAGAAAGUUACUUCGGUACAUCGGUGACAGGUGGUGCAUGGUUGUCGUCAGCUCGUGUCGUGAGAUGUUGGGUUAAGUCCCGCAGCGAGCGCAACCCCUAUUGUUAGUUGCCAUCAUUCAGUUGGGCACUCUAGCGAGACUGCCGGUAAUAAACCGGAGGAAGUGGGGAUGACGUCAAAUCAUCAUGCCCCUUAUGACCUGGGCUACACACGUGCUACAAUGGUUGGUACAACGAGUUGCGAGUCGGUGACGGCGAGCUAAUCUCUUAAAGCCAAUCUCAGUUCGGAUUGUAGGCUGCAACUCGCCUACAUGAAGUCGGAAUCGCUAGUAAUCGCGGAUCUGCACGCCGCGGUGAAUACGUUCCCGGGCCUU
rnacentral:rRNA from 1 species